rnacentral:rRNA from 1 species
GAAGGUCCCGAGCGUUGUUCGGAAUCACUGGGCGUAAAGGGAGCGUAGGCGGCGUGGUAAGUCAGAUGUGAAAUCCCGGGGCUCAACCCCGGAACUGCAUCCGAUACUGCCGUGCUAGAGGAUUGGAGAGGUAGCUGGAAUUCUUGGUGUAGCAGUGAAAUGCGUGGAGAUCAAGAGGAACACUCGUGGCGAAAGCGAGCUACUGGACAAUAUCUGACGCUGAGGCUCGAAGGCCAGGGUAGCGAAAGGGAUUAGAUACCCCUGUAGUCCUGGCAGUAAACGGUGCACGCUUGGUGUGAGGGGAAUCGACCCCCCUUGUGCCGGASSUAACGCGUUAACGUGCCGCCUGGGAAGUACGGUCGCAAGACUA